UACGUAGGGUGCGAGCGUUGUCCGGAAUUAUUGGGCGUAAAGAGCUCGUAGGCGGUUUGUCGCGUCUGCUGUGAAAACUCGGGGCUUAACCCCGGGCCUGCAGUGGGUACGGGCAGACUAGAGUGCGGUAGGGGAGACUGGAAUUCCUGGUGUAGCGGUGAAAUGCGCAGAUAUCAGGAGGAACACCAGUGGCGAAGGCGGCUCACUGGCCCGAUACUGACGCUGAGGCACGAAAGCGUGGGGAGCAAACAGG
rnacentral:rRNA from 1 species